ensembl:snoRNA Gm26278 small nucleolar RNA SNORA17
UGUGCUCCUAGAGGCAUUAUAGGUGUGGCUACUGUGUUACAUGUGAAUCAAUAGGUGGCAAAGAGCUGAGAGGGCAUACCUAUGCUCAGUGUUCUGACCUAUGAACAUCCAAAUGAUGAGUAGCCUAACAUG